rnacentral:rRNA from 1 species
UAUUGGACAAUGGGCGCAAGCCUGAUCCAGCCAUGCCGCGUGAGUGAUGAAGGCCUUAGGGUUGUAAAGCUCUUUUGUCCGGGACGAUAAUGACGGUACCGGAAGAAUAAGCCCCGGCUAACUUCGUGCCAGCAGCCGCGGUAAUACGAAGGGGGCUAGCGUUGCUCGGAAUCACUGGGCGUAAAGGGCGCGUAGGCGGCCGAUUAAGUCGGGGGUGAAAGCCUGUGGCUCAACCACAGAAUUGCCUUCGAUACUGGUUGGCUUGAGACCGGAAGAGGACAGCGGAACUGCGAGUGUAGAGGUGAAAUUCGUAGAUAUUCGCAAGAACACCAGUGGCGAAGGCGGCUGUCUGGUCCGGUUCUGACGCUGAGGCGCGAAAGCGUGGGGAGCAAACAGG